rnacentral:rRNA from 1 species
UGGGGAAUAUUGCACAAUGGGCGCAAGCCUGAUGCAGCCAUGCCGCGUGUGUGAAGAAGGCCUUCGGGUUGUAAAGCACUUUCAGCGGGGAGGAAGGCGUUAAGGUUAAUAACCUUGGCGAUUGACGUUACCCGCAGAAGAAGCACCGGCUAACUCCGUGCCAGCAGCCGCGGUAAUACGGAGGGUGCAAGCUUUAAUCGGAAUUACUGGGCGUAAAGCGCACGCAGGCGGUCUGUCAAGUCGGAUGUGAAAUCCCCGGGCUCAACCUGGGAACUGCAUUCGAAACUGGCAGGCUAGAGUCUUGUAGAGGGGGGUAGAAUUCCAGGUGUAGCGGUGAAAUGCGUAGAGAUCUGGAGGAAUACCGGUGGCGAAGGCGGCCCCCUGGACAAAGACUGACGCUCAGGUGCGAAAGCGUGGGGAGCAAACAGG